UGUGGAUGUUGUGUCACUACCUCCAAGUGACAAAGCUAGUUCCCCAGACCCUUUUAGUAAUUUACCGGCUUUAGGGGCACGAUGUCAACUGUUCUUAGAAGAUCCAAUUAGACGUCCAGUAGCAUAUGGGAUAGCUUACAGUGGUGGACAGGUUCAUGGGGUUGUACUGGAUAUAAAUCAUGUGAAGGUGAGCGUA